GAUGAACGCUAGCGGCAGGCCUAACACAUGCAAGUCGAGGGGUAGAGGUUGCUUGCAACCUUGAGACCGGCGCACGGGUGCGUAACGCGUAUGCAAUCUGCCUUGUACUGAGGGAUAGCCCAGAGAAAUUUGGAUUAAUACCUCAUAGUAUCUUUUCCCGGCAUCGGGAGAUUAUUAAAGUUCCAACGGUACAAGAUGAGCAUGCGUCCCAUUAGCUAGUUGGUAUGGUAACGGCAUACCAAGGCAAUGAUGGGUAGGGGUCCUGAGAGGGUGAUCCCCCGCACUGGUACUGAGACACGGACCAGACUCCUACGGGAGGCAGCAGGGAGGAAUAUUGGGCAAUGGGCGCAAGCCUGAACCAGCCAUGCCGCGUGCAGGAUGAAGCAUCUAUGGUGUGUAAACUGCUUUUAUACGGGAAGAAACACCGGUUCGUGAACCGGCUUGACGGCACCGUAAGAAUAAGGAUCGGCUAACUCCGUGCCAGCCGCCGCAGUAAAAC
rnacentral:rRNA from 1 species